rnacentral:lncRNA from 1 species
UCCUUCCCAACAGCAUUUUCCAGCACGUGUGACAAGCCUCUCAGCUCUCGUCCCCCGCCUCGUUCCGCUCCACCUCUGAAAUCCCAACCCUAGGGGAAAAUGGAUGGGAUAGAUUCUAGGAGGCAGCAAGGGCAACGGCAGCGGCGACGAUGACCUGUUUCAAGAAGAACCGAAAUUACCUCGGAGGCAGCGGUGGCGCCGAAGGC